rnacentral:rRNA from 1 species
UAAGGAAUAUUGGUCAAUGGACGCAAGUCUGAACCAGCCAUGCCGCGUGAAGGAUGAAGGUCCUCUGGAUUGUAAACUUCUUUUAUCUGGGACGAAAACGGGAUUUUUAUCUCAAUUGACGGUACCAGAGGAAUAAGCACCGGCUAACUCCGUGCCAGCAGCCGCGGUAAUACGGAGGGUGCGAGCGGUAUCCGGAUUUACUGGGUUUAAAGGGUGCGUAGGUGGGCUUAUAAGUCAGUGGUGAAAUCUCCGAGCUUAACUUGGAAACUGCCGUUGAUACUAUAGGUCUUGAGUUAUCUGGAGGUAAGCGGAAUAUGUCAUGUGGCGGUGAAAUGCUUAGAUAUGACAUAGAACACCAAUUGCGAAGGCAGCUUACUACAUAUAAAUUGACGCUGAGGCACGAAAGCGUGGGGAUCAAACA